GUCCACGCUGUAAACGAUGAAUACUAGGUAUUGGAGGAUUUGACCCCUACAGUGCCGUAGCUAACGCGUUAAGUAUUCCGCCUGGGAAGUACGGUCGCAAGACUAAAACUCAAAGGAAUUGACGGGGGCCCACACAAGCGGUGGAUUAUGUGGUUUAAUUCGAAGCAACGCGCAGAACCUUACCAAGGCUUGAAAUCCCACGAACCUGCUUUAAACGGCGGGGUGCUCUUCGGAGAAUGUGGUGACAGGCGCUGCAUGGCUGUCGU
rnacentral:rRNA from 1 species